CCUGGUUGAUCCUGCCAGUAGUCAUAUGCUUGUCUCAAAGAUUAAGCCAUGCAUGUCUAAGUACAAGCCUCACUAAGGUGAAACCGCGAAUGGCUCAUUAAAUCACACCUAAUGUACUGGACAGUCUCAGUUACUUGGAUAACUGCGGUAAUUCUGGAGCUAAUACAUGCGUACUAGCCGCGACUCACGGAGCGGUGCUUUUAUUAGAUCAAAACCAAACGGCCUCGAGCCGUCCCCCUGGUGAUUCUGAAUAACUUUGGGCUGAUCGCACGGACUCGUUCCGGCGACGUGUCCUUCCAAGGUGUGCCCUAUCAACUGUCGACUGUGGCAUAGACGCCCACAGUGGUUUUGACGGGUAACGGGGAAUUAGGGUUCGAUUCCGGAGAGGGAGCCUGAGAAACGGCUACCACUUCUACGGAAGGCAGCAGGCACGCAAAUUACCCACUGGCCGAAGGCCGAGGUAGUGACGAAAAAUAACGAUACCGGACUCAUCCGAGGCCCGGUAAUCGGAAUGAGUACACUUUAAAUCCUUUAACGAGGAACAAUUGGAGGGCAAGUCUGGUGCCAGCAGCCGCGGUAAUUCCAGCUCCAAUAGCGUAUAUUAAAGUUGUUGCGGUUAAAAAGCUCGUAGUUGGAUCUCGGCGGGCAGGGGGUGGUUCGCUCUUCAGCGCUACUGCCCCGCUUUGCCCGUGUGAUUGGCGGAGGUUUCGGGGUGCUCUUCGUUGAGUGACUCGGAGCGCCGUCAGGUUUACUUUGAAAAAAUUAGAGUGCUCAAAGCAGGCUUUUCACGCUUGAAUAUUCGUGCAUGGAAUAAUGGAAUAGGAACUCGUUUCUAUUUUGUUGGUUUUCGGAAAUCGAGUUAAUGAUUAACAGGGACAAUUGGGGGCAUUAGUAUUCAGACGACAGAGGUGAAAUUCUUGGACCGUCUGAAGACUGACUACUGCGAAAGCAUUUGCCAAGAAUGUUUUCAUUAAUCAAGAACGAAAGUUAGAGGUUCGAAGGCGAUUAGAUACCGCCCUAGUUCUAACCAUAAACGAUGCCAGCUAGCGAUCUGCCGGCGUUUAAUUUUCUGACUUGGCAGGGAGCUUCCGGGAAACCAAAGCUUGUGGGUUCCAGGGGAAGUAUGGUUGCAAAGCUGAAACUUAAAGUAAUUGACGGAAGGGCACCACCAGGAGUGGAGCCUGCGGCUUAAUUUGAC
rnacentral:rRNA from 1 species